rnacentral:rRNA from 1 species
AUUGAACGCUGGCGGCAUGCCUUACACAUGCAAGUCGAACGGCAGCGCGGGGCAACCUGGCGGCGAGUGGCGAACGGGUGAGUAAUAUAUCGGAACGUACCCUGGAGUGGGGGAUAACGUAGCGAAAGUUACGCUAAUACCGCAUACGAUCUAAGGAUGAAAGUGGGGAUCGCAAGACCUCAUGCUCCUGGAGCGGCCGAUAUCUGAUUAGCUAGUUGGUAGGGUAAAAGCCUACCAAGGCAUCGAUCAGUAGCUGGUCUGAGAGGACGACCAGCCACACUGGAACUGAGACACGGUCCAGACUCCUACGGGAGGCAGCAGUGGGGAAUUUUGGACAAUGGGCGCAAGCCUGAUCCAGCAAUGCCGCGUGAGUGAAGAAGGCCUUCGGGUUGUAAAGCUCUUUUGUCAGGGAAGAAACGGGUCUUUCUAAUACAGAGGCCUAAUGACGGUACCUGAAGAAUAAGCACCGGCUAACUACGUGCCAGCAGCCGCGGUAAUACGUAGGGUGCAAGCGUUAAUCGGAAUUACUGGGCGUAAAGCGUGCGCAGGCGGUUUUGUAAGUCUGUCGUGAAAUCCCCGGGCUCAACCUGGGAAUGGCGAUGGAGGCUGCAA